CAUGUAUAACUUUCUCCGACAUUCUAGGACAGGACGUGUCUUAUACCACUUCUUUUUCUGUCUCAUUUUGUCCACCAAACUUUUAACAUUGUGCGUGAGUACACAAAGCAAACUUCCUCCUCGCGUCUCCCGAGUGACCAAAGCCAAACAAUGAGUCGACUUCAAGACAAGGCUCACCUGUCAGCAGGACCAGAAGCCAGCAGACGUCAAGCACCAUUCUCCCUGUGGCCUCCAUGGCAUCGUUAUCCUCUUGUGCGACUUGUGUGGUGGCGCUGGAGAGAGGAGGCGGGAGCUGUUUUGGUGACUACAUUUGCCAGGGAAAUGAGAGGAGCCACAUUCAGCCCCUCCCAUAUGACAUCACAUGAAAGUGGAGCAAGAAGAAGAAGUCUACCUGGCUGAGUGACGUCAUAGAUAAGCUGGGUCUUCCACUUGAGACUCAGCUUUCAUUGACCGAUGGGACGGGAACAGAAGUGGCUGCUGAUGUGUUUGAGGACCUGUUAAAAAUGGCAAACCUUACCAUAAAUGUGUCUGCAGAAAGGUCAACAGGUUUGUUUCCACAAGUUAGCUAACAUUACUAAGGUAAGGCUUGAUAGUUAGAAGGUAUCCACAGUAUCAAUUCCACUCUUUGACAAAACUGCACUGGUUGACUUUAAAACUAUUCAUGGUUUCUUUUGGGUAUGUUAUCAUCUCAAUUUUAAAUUCCCUUAUUUUUAGGUUUUUAAUC